rnacentral:misc_RNA from 1 species
GAUGAAGAACGCAGCGAAAUGCGAUACGUAAUGUGAAUUGCAGAAUUCAGUGAAUCAUCGAAUCUUUGAACGCACAUUGCGCCCCCUGGUAUUCCGGGGGGCAUGCCUGUCCGAGCGUCAUUGCUGCCCUCAAGCACGGCUUGUGUGUUGGGCCCCGUCCUCCGAUCCCGGGGGACGGGCCCGAAAGGCAGCGGCGGCACCGCGUCCGGUCCUCGAGCGUAUGGGGCUUUGUCACCCGCUCUGUAGGCCCGGCCGGCGCUUGCCGAUCAACCCAAAUUUUUAUCCAGGUUGACCUCGGAUCAGGUAGGGAUACCCGCUGAACUUAAGCAUAUCAAUAAGCGGAGGA